UGGGAAUUUUGGACAAUGGGCGCAAGCCUGAUCCAGCCAUUCCGCGUGAGUGAAGAAGGCCUUCGGGUUGUAAAGCUCUUUCGCAAGGGAAGAAAACUUAGGCUCUAACAUAGCCUGAGGUUGACGGUACCUUGAUAAGAAGCACCGGCUAACUACGUGCCAGCAGCCGCGGUAAUACGUAGGGUGCGAGCGUUAAUCGGAAUUACUGGGCGUAAAGCGUGCGCAGGCGGUUUUGUAAGUCAGACGUGAAAUCCCCGAGCUCAACUUGGGAACUGCGUUUGAAACUACAAGACUAGAAUAUGUCAGAGGGGGGUAGAAUUCCACGUGUAGCAGUGAAAUGCGCAGAGAUGUGGAGGAAUACCAAUGGCGAAGGCAGCCCCCUGGGAUAAUAUUGACGCUCAUGCACGAAAGCGUGGGGAGCAAACAG
rnacentral:rRNA from 1 species